rnacentral:lncRNA from 1 species
GGAAGGAAAGUAUAAAUUGUCUUUGAUAUGAUAAGAGAGGUUUGACCUAAGAUAAGUGUAGGAAAGUCAACAAUGGCAUAUCGGUUAUACCAUGCUCAUAUAUUAUUUAAAUGACUUGAAAGUUCAAACUUGAUAUAGAUUUUGAUGUGAUUGUACUUUUGAUUUUGCUGCUAAUUAUUAGAGUGAGAUUUGUACGUAGAUCUUCCAUAGUAUUGGAGUGAGCUAAGAAGAUUUUAUAAUAUUGAAAGGAAUGUUUUUCGAAGUUGAAUAUGUAUGUGAAUCUGUAUGUGGUAUUGGCAUGUUUGGAUAUUACAAAUAGGUCUAUUUUCUAUUGAUAUAUUUGAUUUUAUUUUGAGGCUAUUGAGUUGGCAUAUUGAUGGGGGAAUUCUAAUUAUUUGAAUUUAUAUAUUUGGAUUGGGCUACUGAAUUUUUCUUAUAAUUGUUGGAGACUAUUGGAUGUGUUAACUUGAACUAAAGUCUAGAUUUAUGAUCUAACCAAGAAUCUUUGCCAUUGAGUAGAGAUUUAUAUUUUGAGAUGCUUAUGUGAGUUAUCAUAUGUAGCAUUGAUCAUACAUAUUAAGAAUCUUGGUGAAGAAAGAUUUGAAGGUUGAUAGAGU